AGGACGAACGCUGGCGGCGUGCUUAACACAUGCAAGUCGAGCGGUAAGGCCCUUCGGGGUACACGAGCGGCGAACGGGUGAGUAACACGUGAGCAAUCUGCCCUCCACAUCGGGAUAACCCCCGGAAACGGGAGCUAAUACCGGAUACGACCACUUCAGGCAUCUGAUGGUGGUGGAAAGUUCUGGCGGUGGAGGAUGAGCUCGCGGCCUAUCAGCUAGUUGGUGAGGUAAUGGCCCACCAAGGCUUCGACGGGUAGCCGGCCUGAGAGGGUGACCGGCCACACUGGGACUGAGACACGGCCCAGACUCCUACGGGAGGCAGCAGUGGGGAAUAUUGGACAAUGGGCGAAAGCCUGAUCCAGCAACGCCGCGUGAGGGAUGACGGCCUUCGGGUUGUAAACCUCUUUCAGCGCAGACGAAGCGAAAGUGACGGUAUGCGCAGAAGAAGCACCGGCCAACUACGUGCCAGCAGCCGCGGU
rnacentral:rRNA from 1 species